rfam:Picea glauca, whole genome shotgun sequence.
AUGUACAUUCCUACAACAUUAAUGCAUUAGAUCCCAUCAAAAAUCUGUAGUUAAGUGUGCUUAGGAUAAAGUAGUUAUAGGAUGGGUGAUCUCUUGGGAAUUCCUAGUGUUUUACAUG